ACGUAGGGGGCUAGCGUUGUCCGGAAUCAUUGGGCGUAAAGCGCGCGUAGGCGGCCCGGUAAGUCCGCUGUGAAAGUCCAGGGCUCAACCCUGGAAUGCCGGUGGAUACUGCCGGGCUAGAGUUCGGGAGAGGCGAGUGGAAUUCCUGGUGUAGCGGUGGAAUGCGCAGAUAUCGGAAGGAACACCAGUGGCGAAAGCGGCUUCCUGGUCCAGCACCGACGUUCAGGCACGAAAGCGUGGGGAGCAAACAGGA
rnacentral:rRNA from 1 species